rnacentral:rRNA from 1 species
AUGCAUCGCCGAUCUACCUUCACACCAAGGGACCUGGAGUGCAUGCUACGUAAUGAAACGGCAGAGCCCAAGCCCCUGCCUCUGUCACUUCUGGAAAAAAUCACAAAUGGUUUCUCUGCGGAGCAGGAAAUUGGGAGUGGUGGGUUUGCGGUGGUUUAUAAGGAAAAGCUUGUGAGUACCACUGUGGCCGUGAAGAGGUUGACCAAUACGCUUAUGGAUGAAAAGGAAUUCCACCAAGAAGUUGAAUGUCUCAUGAUGGUGAAACACAAAAAUAUAGUACGGUUUCUGGGAUACUGUGCUGACAGACAAGGGAGUAUGGAAAGGUGCAAUGAAAAAUUCAUCAUGGCUGACGUACACCAAAGGUUGCUCUGCUUCGAGUAUCUUCCUCAUGGGAGCCGUUAUGAGUACAUCACUGAUACAACUCACAGACUUCAGUGGAGAGACCGUUUUCAAAUUAUCACAGGAAUUUGUCAGGGGUUACACCAUCUUCAUCAGAAUAAUAUUGUCCACUUAGAUUUAAAGCCCGCAAAUAUAUUAUUGGAUGCUAAUAUGGUACCAAAAAUUGCUGAUUUCGGUCUAUCAAGGUGCUUUAAAGAAAUGCAAAGCCGAGAUCUUACAAGGAAAGGAGGAACGAUUGGAUAUACGGCACCAGAAUUUUUUGACCGUACUGAAAUCAGAUACCGCCAUUCGUACCGGCUUGAUAUCUAUAGUCUCGGAGUAAUAAUCAUAGAGAUACUCACCGGAAAGAAGGGGUAUCAUGAUGUUGACAAGGUAGUCGAAAGUUGGAGUAAGAUGUUGGACAUAUCACAGAGUGACGUACAGGUGGAACAGGUGAAAAAUGCUUCAAAUGAACUCCAUAAAGAUAUGCCUAAUGCUUCAGGAGAGACAAGCUCUGAGCGGCUUAAUCCGGGCAUGUUGAAGAAUGACAUCAUGCAUGCUAUUUGGUUGAGCUAUCAACAGCUUAAUCCAGACAUCAAGCGAUGCGUCAAAUACUGCAGUAUUUUUCCCAAAAGGUCCAAGUUAAAUAAGGACGAGUUAGUUCACCUGUGGAUAGCGCAAGGGUUUAUAAAGACUAAUUGUGCAACAGAGGACAUGGAAGAUGUAGCUGAGGGCUAUGUUCAAGAGUUAGUGCCAUGCUCAUUUCUGCAACCAGAAGAAGAUGAUUACUCUAUCAAAUACAUUACAAUCCUUGAUCUGCUGCAUGAUUUAUUAGACAAGAUCGUUGGAAGGGGUUACUUCAGAAUCGAGAAUGCAAGGAGUCAGAGAGGAAUAGUCUGGAAAGGAGAUGUUCCCCGAGAUGUUCGCCACCUUUUUGUUCAAAAUUAUGACGGAGAAUUGAUUACGAAGAAGAUCCUUGCAUUGGAAAAUUUACGCACUCUAAUUAUUUAUGUGGUUGAAAAGGAUACACCAGUGGAGGAAAAAGUCAUUGAGAGUAUAUGCAAUAGCCUGCCGAAAUUGCGGGUACUCGCUGUUGCUUUCAGCCGGGAGCAUCAUCCAAUCACACGACCCAGUAAGUUCUCGAUCCCAGAAUCCAUUAGCCAGUUAAAGCACCUAUGCUAUCUUGCUUUCAGGACAUUCAAAUGCACUGUAAUUUUACCAAGUGCGCUAGCUGAACUUCACCAUAUUCAGCUGCUAGAUUUUGGUCAUCAUAGCCAAACUUCUGAAUUUACUACUGAUAACCUUACCAACCUGCGGUACAUAAUGUGCAAGAGUGUGAAAUGUCCUAACAUAGGAAGGUUGAUCUCACUCCAAGCAUUACCAUGCAACACAUUCACAGUAAGGAAUGUACAGGGUUAUGAGAUAAAGCAACUGAGAGACCUAAACGACCUUCGUGGCAAUCUGGUAAUCAAUGGCCUUGAAAAUGUCAAAGGCAAGGAGGAAGCUCUUGAAGCCAAUCUAGGUGCCAAGGAACGGAUCACAGAACUGAUGUUGGAAUGGGAUUAUGAUGAUGAUACAAGGUGCAGUCCAGAAGUUGAAGCAGAGGUACUUGAGGGCCUGUGCCCUCCUGCGAAACUUGAAACACUGAUGAUCGAGGGCUACAAAGGUUCGAGGUACCCAGAAUGGAUGGUGGCCCGACGGACCUGCAAAAUCUUCACUUAUAUAAGUGGAGUCAAUUGGGACCUGGUCCUGAACUUGAGGCUUUCCCUCAUCUUUGUCGGCUAG